AACGAACGCUGGCGGCAGGCCUAACACAUGCAAGUCGAACGAACCCUUCGGGGUGAGUGGCGCACGGGUGCGUAACACGUGGGAAUAUGCCCUUAGGUAAGGAACAACGUCUGGAAACGGGCGCUAAUACCUUAUAAUGACUCCGGUCCAAAGAUUUAUCGCCUAAGGAUUAGCCCGCGCUAGAUUAGAUAGUUGGUGAGGUAAUGGCUCACCAAGUCUACGAUCUAUAGGGGGUCUGAGAGGAUGAUCCCCCACACUGGGACUGAGACACGGCCCAGACUCCUACGGGAGGCAGCAGUGAGGAAUAUUGGACAAUGGGGGAAACCCUGAUCCAGCCAUGCCGCGUGAGUGAAGAAGGCCUUCGGGUUGUAAAGCUCUUUCAGAUGCGAAGAUAAUGACGGUAACAUCAGAAGAAGCCCCGGCUAAAUUCGUGCCAGCCGCCGCCGUAAAAC
rnacentral:rRNA from 1 species